UACGUAGGGGGCAAGCGUUGUCCGGAUUUAUUGGGCGUAAAGAGCGUGUAGGCGGUUAGGUAGGUCCGUUGUGAAAACUCGAGGCUCAACCUCGAGACGCCGAUGGAAACCAGCUGACUAGAGUCCGGAAGAGGAGAGUGGAAUUCCUGGUGUAGCGGUGAAAUGCGCAGAUAUCAGGAAGAACACCCGUGGCUAAGGCGGCUCUCUAGUACGUGACUGACGCUGAGACGCGAAAGCGUGGGGAGCGAACAGG
rnacentral:rRNA from 1 species